GACGAACGCUGGCGGCGUGCUUAACACAUGCAAGUCGAGCGGUAAGGCCCUUUCGGGGGUACACGAGCGGCGAACGGGUGAGUAACACGUGGGUGACCUGCCCUCAGCUCUGGGAUAAGCCUGGGAAACUGGGUCUAAUACCGGAUAUGACUCCAUGACGCAUGUUGUGGGGUGGAAAGCCUUGUGCGGCUGAGGAUGGGCCCGCGGCCUAUCAGCUUGUUGGUGGGGNGAUGGCCUACCAAGGCGACGACGGGUAGCCGGCCUGAGAGGGCGACCGGCCACACUGGGACUGAGACACGGCCCAGACUCCUACGGGAGGCAGCAGGUGGGGAAUCUUGCGCAAUGGGCGAAAGCCUGACGCAGCGACGCCGCGUGAGGGAUGACGG
rnacentral:rRNA from 1 species